rnacentral:rRNA from 1 species
UACGUAGGGGGCAAGCGUUAUCCGGAUUCACUGGGCGUAAAGGGAGCGCAGGCGGCAUGGCAAGUCUGAUGUGAAAACCCGGGGCCCAACCCCGGGAGUGCAUUGGAAACUGCCAGGCUGGAGUGUCGGAGGGGUAAGCGGAAUUCCUAGUGUAGCGGUGAGAUGCGUAGAUAUUAGGAGGAACACCAGUGGCGAAGGCGGCUUACUGGACGACUACUGACGCUGAGGCUCGAAAGUGUGGGGAGCAAACAGG